rnacentral:rRNA from 1 species
AGAGCGAACGCUGGCGGCAGGCCUAAUACAUGCAAGUCGAACGCACCUUCGGGUGAGUGGCGGACGGGUGAGUAACACGUGGGAACGUGCCUUUUGGUUCGGAAUAAUCCGGGGAAACCUGGCCUAAUACCGGAUGUGCCCUUCGGGGGAAAGAUUUAUCGCCAUUAGAGCGGCCCGCGUCUGAUUAGCUAGUUGGUGAGGUAACGGCCCACCAAGGCGACGAUCAGUAGCUGGUCUGAGAGGAUGAUCAGCCACACUGGGACUGAGACACGGCCCAGACUCCUACGGGAGGCAGCAGUAGGGAAUCUUGCGCAAUGGGCGAAAGCCUGACGCAGCCAUGCCGCGUGAAUGAUGAAGGUCUUAGGAUUGUAAAAUUCUUUCAGCGGGGAAGAUAAUGACUGUACCCGCAGAAGAAGCUCCGGCUAACUUCGUGCCAGCACGCCGC